GUGCAUUCAGCGUCGCCGAACGUGACCAUCUACCUCACGCGCCCCCCCAAAGUCGUGGAGAAUUCAAUUCAAGGGACUAUUGGACUGACAGAGCAGAAAAAAAAAUUUAAUUAAUAUCUGCAGGAGAAGCAAUGUCAGGACGAGCGGUUGGCGAAAUGGUGGAGAUAAUGACGUUUUGCAUAUUCUCCAAGCGAAGAGUAACCAGUCCGGCUUCCACCGAGCACUCAACAGAACCUUUUCCGGUGGAUUUCAAGCCCCAGCGAAGGCACUAUCGACUGUAGCCACUCUGAAGAGAACACUCUGAGACCGUGGCACGAUGUCCAGCCACGUAUGCGACAAUAAUUAGCCAGGAGUGGGCAACUUUAAAAUUAGACAUCAUAAAUUUUAAUGAGAGCAUACCUACAGUACACCGGUGGCCGUUAUCUCAUACGAGGUGGAACACCCGCUAUGUAAUUCUCAUAGUUACAUACUCCUUAAUGUUGAUGAUCAAUAUUUCCAUAGUCUGGGUUAAAUGGCUACUUUGUGAAAAUUGUACAAGGGGUAUUUUCAGAAUGUCAGCCGGUGAUGUUUUAUGGGCCCUAAUAAAUUGGAAUACAAUGAAUGUUACACGAGUGGGAGCAAAUUGGCGCAUUGCAACAAUUAGUGGAUCAAAUGUAAAAAUAAAUUAGAGUCACCAAUCAUUCAUUGGUUUUCCCUGACAAACUAGUGAAUGAAAAAAUUCCCCUUUCACUGAAUUUCGCGUACUUCUGUUGUAAAUAAUUGAGAAUUAGUUCACCAGUUCUUCAGCUUCACGCACUGGUUGUUAAAAUUAACCGAACAAUUAUCUCUACGUAGUACAAUCCCCUGGGGAUCCGUAUCAAAUUGAAAUUGAAAUUUUCACAAGAGUCAACUGUUGCUGUACAAAUUCACCUGUGACUCUUCCACACCAUCAAACAUCGGUGCCAAAAUUUUAUUAAUGAAGUCAGGCGCCCACGUUUCCAAGACCACGCUCGCACCAGCGAUAAUCGUGUAAUCGUGCGUGUAACGAUGGAAAUGCACGUGCCGUGAUUCAUCUAUUUCCCUUCAUUCAUAUAAAAGACCGGAGAACAGCACAAAGCCUGCAGUUCUUCCAUCAUUAGUUGCCCUAAAAAUUCUUCGCACGACAAGGAGAGUAGUUCGGAAUAGGGGUUCGAGGAAAAUUUGGCUGACUCGUUACGUGUGAGCUUGAGGAAAAAAAAUGUAGAAGAGAAAUAAUAAUCAAGAUUUUUUUUUUCUGCUCCAGACAGGAACCUUCCACAUCAGUCCUCAUUAAUAUGAUGCAUUCGACUGUGAAUUCGUGGUCAACAAUGCGACUGCGGUUGUCCUCGUUCGUUAGUGACAUCUCUUCCAGCGAGAGUCCCCAAAAAUUUUGUGGAAAUUAACGCCCCAAGGAAUUCCGAGUUAAUUGCAUCUGAAUGUUCACUCGGAGAUGAAAAAUGAGGUGAA